GCAGAGCAGAAUGAGGUUACUGGCCGGAGAUCAUCCAAUCAAUAAUUGUAUUUACUGCUUGUUAUUUUAUGUUCUAAAUAAAUUAGCUUUUUUACACCAUCUUAUGUCUUUGGACAUUAUUAAUUGGAUGAUCUCCGACCAGUAACCUCAUUCUGCUCUGC